rnacentral:lncRNA from 1 species
UAGAAAUAAAUAAUCCAAAGUUCUAAAUAUGUUAAAUUAAGCUUAGUAACACCUCAUACUCGACUCCGGCGAUGGUCUCGGGCGUGGGGGCGUUACAUUUAGUGGUAUCAGAGCAGGUUUAGUCAGUUCUCGGACUACGUGUUGUAUGUACGGAUUUUGCUAUACAUGCCAUAUGUAUGAAUUGUGAUAGUGUGACGACUUCUGACCUUUUUAAAUGAAUUUUUUUUAUAUAGUAAAUGGAUCCCGAUCCAGCUGUGGCAGAUGAAGUAGAGAGUAAUGCGCCAGCUCCGG